ACUGGACGCAUGAGGCGCGCUUCUUACAGCGAAGUUGCGAAGUGGGUCCAUGAGGCCUGGAGUGCUGUUAGAGUGGCAACCAUAACUGCAGGGUUCCGGAAGGCUGGCCUGCUAGCUUCAUCGCCAACCGAGAACGACGACAAUCAGACCAGCGGUUCUGAGUAUGAAGAGAAUGCUUCAGCCGCGUUGCCUCCAGAAAUGGGCGAGCUUUUUGAGAGCGCAUCCGAAGAUGAAGACUUCGAUGGUUUUAAGUAAAAAUAAAAUGUUGUUAUGGACA